rnacentral:rRNA from 1 species
UACGUAGGGGGGCUAGCGUUGUCCGAAUUUAUUGGGCGUAAAGAGCGUGUAGGCGGCCAGAUAGGUCUGCUGUGAAAACUCGAGGCUCAACCUCGAGCUGUCGGCGGAAACCAUCCGGCUAGAGUUCGGUAGGGGAGACUGGAAUUCCUGGUGUAGCGGUGAAAUGCGCAGAUAUCGGGAAGAACACCCGUGGCGAAGGCGGUUCUCUGGGACGGUACUGACGCGAGACGCGAAAGCGUGGGGAGCGAACAGG